GUUUCAGUGACUCGGGACUUUGCAUUCAUUCGGUGGCGAGCAAACUGAACACAACUGACACAAAUGUUUAGGAACAAAGCUCCCAUCCGUACUAUGAGGAAUGAAGUGCUGAAUUAUCAGUAGGUUCUUUAGCUGAUGGAUUUCAGCUUCAUCCAAGGGUUGGUGCCUCUGAUCUCUAAAGGUGCAUCAUUGUAGAAGAUGUGGUUGCACAAAUCCUCCAGCGGGGGCUCUGGAUCAGAGGUAGCAAACUGUGCUGCUUCUUCUAUCUCCUUACGAAUCUCAGCAUCAAUGUCCUGUCAUGGUUCCAACAACAUAACAUGGUGAUACGAUCUGCAAUAAUCUGCCGCAAACCUGGUUGCCUCUCUCACGCUGAGAACAUCCAUACCAUCCACCUGGAGAAAACAAAGAAACAGGCUUGACUUAUUUGCUCAUUUGCUUGACUUAUGUGCCUUUUAUGUACUUCUGUAUAAAUUUGCAUGCACUGGUGAACAUAAAACUAAAAAAAAAAAAAA